rnacentral:rRNA from 1 species
UUAAAUUGAAGAGUUUGAUCAUGGCUCAGAUUGAACGCUGGCGGCAGGCCUAACACAUGCAAGUCGAACGGUAACAGGAAUCAGCUUUCUGAUU